AAAAUUUUCACGCAUUUUAUUACAAAUCUUUAUAUUUAUAAACACUCGUCUCGUCACCAGUCAUGAUGCGUUUGAUGAAUGUAGGAUUCUCAGCUACGUUGUCAAGCAUCUCUUUUGCAAAAGAUUCAGGUCUUUUGGUACGAGUCUAGUAUUGACACUCUUCAUACCCAAGACAUUAACCAAAAUGUGUUUAGUCGAUCCAUAAGAGAUGUUAAGUCUCUCUGGUAGCUCUCUGAUGCACACGACGAUUUUCAAGCAGAGUUUCUUUAACUUUUGCGUUGUUAUCGUCAUUAACAGAGGUGCAUGGAUGACUAGCAUCAGACAAGUUUUCGAUGACUUCACGACCUUCACUGAAUGCUGAAUCUUUCAACCUCUGUUAACUUAAGAAACACAAUCACUAUCUAUAUUUUGUAUUAUACUUAUAAUUUCAAUAGGCAAAAGUUUGAAUAUAUAUCUAACAAAUAUACACAAUUUACAUUAUUAUUUUACCACCUAAGAAGAUAGAAGAUAGUUGCUCGUGGAUAUCCAAUAAGAUUCACAUAGAAAUGAAUUGAAAGGAAAACCCUUUAAUUAUAUUAUUAUCAAUCAUGAUGUCCGUGACCAUGUCCGUGUCCGUGACCAUGCCCACCCCAACCACCGCCUCCAACUGGAACUGAAACGACUACGGGCUUCACAAUAAUCGGCUUGACAAUGACGGGCUUCACAACGACCGGUUUUGAUAUUAUUUUAUUUGAUUUGCCGAAUGACGGUAUAAAUUUCGAAUGUGACGCAACCGAUGUUAAUAUAAUGGCCACCACCAAGAUGCGCAGCAACACAAUCCGCGUUUCUUUACUAUCCAUUUUUGUGCGGCGGCGUUCACCUGCUCCUUUGUACUAGUAACUACUGAACCUAAGGUGGCAACGAAACUGUUUAUAUAUGACAAAAUGAGAAACUCAUAAAAUGAAAUGAAUUAAUUAACUAUUUUCGAUCAUUUUUACGCACUUCUUGGGAGAUUCGCGACAUUGAUUUGUAUGCAGGAGAGGCGCCCGGGCAUAAUCUUACGAAUUGCUUUCUUGCGGUAUUUACGAGUAUUGGGUAUCGAGGAGGUGAGACUGUUUGAUAUUUGUAUGCAGAAGGAGUAAACAAAAAUCCCAAGUGAUGGAGAUUCGAUAAAGAUUUUUAUUAAAAAUUCUGAGUGCACAUCCAACGUCGUACAUACUGAAUUUAUAUACAUAGGUAUGUUCAUGAAUAGAUGAGAGCUUUGAACAAAAUUAAGUGUUAGGUAACUAUCAACUAUUCAAUCAUAAAAGUAAUCAGACGUUACUACAAUCAAUGUCCAUAUUGUACAAAUUUAAUCUACAAUACAUUCCCAGAUACGAGUUAUCUUUAUAUUUA